AGUCUAAGAAAGCUCAUGAAUUAUGAAAUAAUAAUUUAAUCAUAGACCCUAUUUGCCCAUCAGAGUAACCAACAUGCCCAAGUUUUCCAUGGUAGUUACAUGCAUUAAACAACUCAGGUCCUGAAACUAUUCACCAACACAAACUAUUCAUGCUUUGAGUAACAUUCAGACUACCUUCACCAAUGAAAAGCUAAUUGACA
rnacentral:misc_RNA from 1 species